AUCCACUUGCCUUUGCCUUGCACUGGAAGGAGGGACUAUGCCAUGGAAAAACAGAGAAAAAAACCAACAGGUUAAGUGGUGCCUGGAAUUAUUCCUGUUGGACUGUAAACUUGUCAGCACAGCACUGCCAGCCCAGAGCCACACACACAUUGCAGGAGUGAUGUGAAGAGGGGCAGAAGGAUACAAAGCAGAAGGCUCAGAGGUUGGAGCCGAAGGCUGGAGGUGGACAUCCAGGUGAGGAGAGGUGAGGUCAGCGCCUGAUUUCAUUGGCACAGGUGGAAGUGAGAAAGCAGUUGUCACCUGAUGGAAAAGACGAAGUAGAGGAAAUGAAGCACAAAACUUUUCUAGUUUACUUAUUAGUACAAUAUGUAAUUGGAUGGAAGUAGCGGGUUUCAAAAAUUUGUCUUACUGUAAUGGCUAUAAUUUUUUUAGAGAUUGAAAAUGAAUCUGACGAGAAAAUACCAUUAAACUACCAACUUGCUUAAAAUUUAAAGGGUAAUUCACAUAUAAUGCUUUUAUUUAAUAGCCCAAUUUACAAAACGUCUAAAAUUAAUGCAGAUCUUUUCAGGACAAAAUCAGCUGUAACUGCACCAACUAAUUUUUGCUCAUUUGAACUGAAUUAUUAAUAAGAGAGAAAUAUACCAUAUGUUCCCAAAAGAGCUGGAUACAUUUAUUUCAAAUAAAAUCGCUGUGUUUGGUGGAAUAUAAGAGGUUUAAAUGCUUUCAGAGAAAUGGGUUACUUAUAUACUGAUUUAAUAGAGUAUAAAUCAGGCUGCAUAAUUAGGGACACAGCUGUUUCCCAACCUAAAGCUGGCAGCUUUUGUUGGUUAAGUUCUUUUAUCACCUGCAUGGCUUUAAUCAGCAAUAAUUUGUUCUUCUUGUGGAGUAAUACAAGUUAAUCAAUAAUUUUGCUGUUUGUACUGUGCUGGAAAAGAGCUUUUAUGGCAGGCUGAGUUUAAACCAGGCAUGCCUUCUCUUGGCUUGUUCACUUGAUUUAUUUCACUAUGCUGUGUUCCUGAUACUAAUUACAAAUGAAAGUAAAGGAUAUGUUGGUAACAAGCACAGCCUCUGUCUACAGCUGAUACAGAGAUAUAUGGCUUUAACUUCUUCAUAGAGAUUCUUAGUUUCAUGCUAUCUACAUAUUUGGGUGCAAACCUACAUGUUGACUCUCAACUAAAGCAAUGAGAAAACUUCACUCCUUAGAACUUGCUUGCAGACUUCUCUUCUGCCUCUGCCUACAGACCAAGGAGAGGGAUAAGUGGUAUUUCUGACCUGGCUGUGGUGGCAGUGUGCAAUGACUGGGGCCAGUGGGAUAAAUGGCAGGACAGCAAGAACUGUCCUGAAAAGUCACUGUCAUUAAGCGUGAUGUGCUGCUAUAACUAUUGAGAUUAGGUAGCUCAGAUCUCCAGGAUCAAUACUCAGGUGCAAUAGCUAACAUUUGUGAGUUUUUUUCAUAUACAGCUUGCACUCAUUUUGUCCUGUAGUAUGAGUCUAAGCGAACAAGCAGUUCAAUCUGAUCAAUAUAUUAUUUUCAAAUGACUUAUCAGGCGACACAGACAUUAAAACAGAAUGUGAUGUGAGAACAAAAGAUGCACAGAAGUUCUUUGACCUCUAGAUGGGCUACAUACACAGGAGACAGGGACGGAAUUCACCGGUGUGCAUGAAAACAGCAAGAUGGCUUUAGGUCAAGUUUGAACAGUCAGAGUUGUUACUUAAAUUUUCCCUUGUCCUAACAGUGUUAAAGAACCCAGAUCAAAUCCUAGUGAAAUCAGCAGAAAAGUUUCACUUUCCAUUAGUAUUUUGGACACAGGGACUUCAGAAGGUCUAUUUUGAGUUGAGAGAUAUACAAUAUAUAACAUUUGUAUAGUAUCGUCAUAUGAAUGUUCAUAUAUAUGUAAAAGGCUCAUAAAUAUUUUCUAAGAUGUCUAGACUUUAAAGUACACUUAUUUUAAAAGCCUUGGUGGGCAAUCAAUAGAAUGUGACAUCUCCCAGUGAAAUCCUCAAAUUGGAAUUGGCCACAUGAUUGCCACCGACUGUGCUCAACUACUUGUUCAACAGAAAAAAAAAACAGCAGACAUUCAAAUUUAAACAAAUUACAUUUGAAUAUUUUUAUUUUGCAUCCAAGAUGAUCUCUAGCCAAAAUAAGCCUGUGAAAAUUCCCCACCGCAAAGGGCAUUUAAUUUUUCAAUGUGGCACUGCUGGGGCUCCUGCAGCACCAGCUUCAAGUAAGAUGUUCCUGUAAUUGCAAACACAACUCUAUUUUUAUAUGGGGGUGAGGCCUAUGAGUCAUUUCUGCCACCAGAUUUUUAUUUUAAAGACUUUAUACUUUGAGCACAUCUUCUACUUCUGUAGUCUUUCCCAUUGACUUCCAAGGAGUAUGCACAAAUAAUCACAUUUCUUGCUUUUUAGAGCCAGAAUAUUCUUUUAAAACCCCAAAGAGGCAAUAUGCAACUUAAAUUAGAGAAUUAUGUUCGCUCACAAAUUAUGCUUUAAAGAGUCUUUGUGUCUUGCUAUAGAUCUUGCUCAGAGGGAACUUCCAUGUGCGUGGAUUCCAGCUGUGCAAGCUAUAAACAUUUUAUGCUGUACCUUUUACAGACUGAAGAGUUUCUCUGCAUUUAGAUUUGGUCCAAAGGAGCUGCCUCGAAAGGGUAAACUCUUGCACCUUCUAUCCAGCUCUUUGUCCCCAGUGACAAAUAAAGGACCACCAAGAAGAACAGUCUGAAACUUGUGACCAACAGAUGGAAAAACGUACAAACUCUUCUCCUUCCAGUCAAGAUAAAGGUUAAACAUGUAAAUGAGGAAAGCAAGAGUUUUGCAGUGAUGUGCUUUUCUUUUCUCCUUUGCCAGCUCAGAGAGCCACCAUGUGAAUAUUCCCCUGGCAUGCUUACACUUGUGCUUAGUACACUUAUGCCCAAGUUUUACUACAGGUAACCGUCCAAGUUUGAUACCAAUGGGAAUACUACAAUACUACAGAGGCAGUAUGUCUGAACGCAUUUUCCACAUCCACGUGCCCCAUGAUGAUAUGCCCAUGUAAACAUAUGCAAUGCACUGAAUUUUCCAUCAGCAGGUGCUCCAGAAGAACCACUCUGCAAUCAAGACCUAGCUAAAUUCCUCUUAAAAACCCAGUUUUUUUCUUUCCUUAAUGAACUCCAAUAACAAAAUGUGCUUCUUUGAACACGGGAAGGAUCCUUCUCUGCAACCAUACCCUUGUAUUCUCCAAAGCUCACUGUUCAGCAAGUGCUUCUCAAGGCAUUUUUCCUCCUUCCUAUUUUAUGCCAAUGCAAGAAGUGGAAUAAGAAAGCCUGACUCUCAAAGUGUAAAAACAGACACAUUGUAGGCAAUUUGAGUGCCUGGUACAACAUCUGCAUUCACAGCAAUUUCCAGCCGCCUGGUGAGUUGAAGGUAAAACAACACAGGGUAGAGGGUUUUGGUCAAUAUAUCAACUCCUUGACUCUUCCUAUGGCUGACACGCGUGACUGAAACUUCGUAUUUUUCACAAUUAAGAAAAAAAAUUAAAUCUCCUUCACAAAUUUCCAUCUCCAGAGAUUCUCCUUCUACUGAUGACUAAGUGAAGAGGGAAUUUCUGGAAUGGGUUGAUUUAGUUUGUGAUUUACUUCCAUUUUUCCUUGCUCUUCCAAGUGUUAAUUACAAUUAACGGAAAUGGAGAAGAUAUUUGGGAACAAGGAGCUUAUAAUUUUUAUCUUGUUGCUACUCAGUAACUGCUAUAGGUAUAAAUCAAUGUAUUUAAGAAAAAACACCCUAGUAACUAAAGUGAUGGCACUUUCUAUGCAUAAAGAAAGUGGCUUUUCUCCUAUGUCUCUAAUACCAACUGCAAAUUUAUGCAUAGCUUUGGAGGUCUGAUCCCCUAAUUCUUAAUUUUGAAAUGUUGAAAAAAAUGGGUGAGAGCUUGUAAACAAGAUAUAUUUGGUCAUUCUUCCAAUGUCCUUUGAUCUAUGUAAUAAAGGUCAGCAUUCAGUGCUUCAUUCUACAUUCUCCCAAAUAUCUAAUUGCCUAAUUAUUGCAUUAUUUCACAGCCAAUCAGCUGAAGGGGUUUGUAUGGGAGUAUGGCAGAAAAAGAGGGCUGUCAGUCUUUGGUUAUGGUCCUAUAGUUCUAAUUCAAGAAUUAAAUAUCUGUCUUUUCUAAAAGUCAUUACAUGAUUUAUUGGAAAAUUGGUAGAAACAGCCCUGGGGGGUUGUGCUCAAAAUCUGGUUUAGAAGAGUGGCUGCUAGCUAUGACUUUUGAUUUUCUUCUAUCAAAAUGAAUAGCGCUGCCUGUUUCUAUGCAAAUUAAAUGUUUGAAUGUAUUUUUUUAAGACAGAUUAUAUUUGUUAAUUUAAUUGGAUUUCUUAUGCAAUAGGGUGAUUUGUGUUUUGAUCUUUAUUUUUUUCUUUUAAAUGAGGAAGGCAAAUUCUUCCCUAGAAGUGCAGUACUGCUUUUUCUGUUGUUUGAUGGCCCUAAAACGUCUGCAGAAAUUGUAGGUCAAGAAUUACAGCCACAGUAAAUCAUGCCUCAUGAAUGAGAAGUCGUCUGUGAUUUCUCUAGGGUUUUUUUUUCUUUCUUUCUUUUUUUUUUUUUUCUGUCUUUAAAAUGAAUGUAAUAUUCAGAAGAAAAUAAAGCCUCCUUUAGCAUAACUGGCAUAGGUAUGAACCAUAUCAAAAUAUGUGUAUUUAUGACAUUCCAACCCAACAUCUAGAAUUUAGGCUGUAUCAAGCAGAGAGAAGCCUCUAUAAGUAACCUCAAGAAAAAAAAAAUAUAUAUUUUUAACAAUAUUUAUUCCAGUUAAUUAUUUUUAAAAACAUCAUUAGAUUUCUUCAUACAAAAGUGAUGAUUACUUCUCAUUGCGAACCCAGAAUAGAAUCAGGAAGGAUAUGGGGCAGCUCCUGCAGUGCAGUCUCUGGGAUACGGUACCCCAAGCUCCUGUUCUGGGGGGAGCAGUUGGGGGUCACCCCAGCUCCUCUUUGUAACUUAUUCACCUCCAGUUCUAGAGUAGCCGAUCCACUUCUGUAAUGCUGCGUGACAAUACAAGUGAUUGGCUUUUGGUGCUGAUUGUGGACAUGCAGCUAGAGACAGUCAAGGAGCAGCCUUGUGGUUUAGUUCACCCUUGUCUCUAUGGAGGGCUCCUCCUGUUUCAUGCUUCCCCACGCUGAAGGCUUAGUAAAAUCAGUAACUGCUGCUGCCUUUCUUUCCACCUUUUCUGCCAAAGUACCUGGUAAAGCAGUAAUGAUGGUGGCUGGAGGAAAAAGCCACAAAAAUACACACUUAAAUGCAGAAGAGGAGUUAACUCUAGUAUUUAUGUAUCUGAUAGAUUAUAAGAAAUUUUAUAUUGUACUGUCAGCAGCUGGACCCACAUAAUAGCCCCUAAAGCUUCAAAGAGCAAAUAACAGGCGCAUCAGAUGCAGCUGGGCAGAUACAAUAGAUUGAACAUCUCCAAAGAACUCCCAUUAGAGUCCGUUGGGUCAAUAACCCACAAACUAAGAAGGAUUUACAUGAUAGACCGUAACAGCUGUUUGGAAGCCAUUACAUUUUGUCAAUGCAAAAUCCAGUUUUCAAAAUAUUGUGAUAUACUUAUUUAUGUGAGAGGCCCUAAUGGCGCUGAAGGUGCCAUUCCAAGCUACAGCAUAGCAAAGAUAUGGUAUCUAAAUUUGGAACAGAAUCACAGUAGGUUAUUUAGCUGAUUCCUUGAAAUAGCUGAGAUGCCACUGCACUUCUUUGAAUGAAACGGAAAACUUAGAACAAAGCAAUCUGUGCAGACAGUGCAGUUAUGAAUACAAUGUGCUUGCACUGAGGAAAAAAAAAAAAGACAAGAAUAUCUUUUCUACAUUCCUCUGCCAUGUAUUCAAGAGUGAUGCUGGAAACAUUGGAAUAAUGUUGUGAGCUGUUUCCAGGUGCAGCCAAACUGGGUGAAAUCUGUACGGGAGGAUAGAGAGGAGAUGCUGCUCUGCCCUUGCUUCCCAUCACUCUUUGCUCAGAGUGUCCAGAAAUUAAUUCCAGUUCGGUUAAAUUUAGAGCAGCCUCAAAAUUCCUCUAAUUGAUGCCAGGGAGAGGGACUUUCUGCGCACCAGUUUCAUUCUUUUCUUUGACAGCUGGGCUCACUGCACUGCUGCAGAGAGAAGCCUGCACCGGUGGAAGCAACCAGAGGAAAAAGAGAGGGGAUUCCCAGUUUUUAUUGACCGUUUCUUUUGUGCCAGGACAGUGGUAUUAAAUGGACAUGGAGUUAGACCCCGCUGCUUUCUAUUUCCCCAGAUGUUUGUACGGUAAAAAGAUGCAAAAGUAGAGCAUACCAAGAAUAUUGUUGCGGUUACGCACUAAAUCUGCAAAAGACCUCAACAUUAAAAAUUAAUCUCAGGACUUUAUUAUUCCUUUGUAACUCAGCACUGCAAUGAUCUUUGUGUAGCGGAGGUCUCUGCAGUGCUCAUAUGUGCUCUUACGCUCAGGCAGAAUGCCAUGAAUUAAGGAUGGAGCGCAAACCUCGCCUUUGAAUUUCCUGGCUUUUGUUAGUUUGUGUCAUAAACUCAACAUUAUUCAAAUCUAGGGUUUUGUAUUUAAUAUUAUUAAACGCCUCCUCAUCAAUGCCAAGUCUGUAAUUGGUCACAGUGAAUAGGUGAUUAGACAGAUAAAGUGCAACUGUGAUUGUAAAAACUAUCACCAGGUUUGCAGAGGACAAUAAUUAUGUAGCUUACAAUGUUUGAAAAUAUUGCCUAAAUCUCUCUCCCACAUGUUGUUUGUGAUGGAAAACAAUUACACAAAGGAUUCUUUUUCUAAGCUGCCUCUGAUUCAGAUUUGCCUGAUGAAUGGUCUUUAUACCGAACCCAGAGCAUUUGUUCCAAGUAAAUUAUAUGUCACUGCAAAUGCAAAAGGUCUGCUUCACAAUGUUUAUUGGGAUAAAUUAAAUCUUCUAAAGAUGGUAAACAGAAGGCCUCAAUAAUUAUUCACUUCUGUAUAGUUUAAACUGAAAAGGAUGUUGCAGUUAGGAGGAUGGAGAUGAGGCAAACAACACUCCCCGCAUUGUGUUAACAACAUAAGAGGUACAAUAGGGAAAUUUAAUUUGAUACUGAUCUACAUGAGGCACAACACAGCAACACAGUUUCAAAUGCUACUUUUCUAAUGGCAGCCUUUGAAUUGCAAAUCUCCACCAAACCCACCUGAAUCAUUACUUGAACGCGUUCCCAGUCAAGUCAAGGAGUUCUCUCGUUGGCUUCCAGAGGGGCAGGAGUGGGCUCUGCCUCCUCGUGACUUCAGGAGGUAGACAUAAAAUCCGAUGGAUGCUUUCCUUGGGGAAGGUUUCAUCCUACAAGGUGACUGGCAUGCAGGCAGCUCGACAAAAAGGAUGCUGCUGGCCUUUGCUGCAGCAAGCCCAAUUUCUCCUUGCGCUGAAAGGUCAAAUCCCAGAAUAGUCUGCAGCCCUUUUGUAAGUGCUUUCCUCAGAGAGGAUACUUUUGCCAGUUGGCAGUGAUGUGAAAACGUUCUGUCACUUCCGUGGGCCAUCCAAAGUGUGACAAUCUUUCAUUUAAUGCUGUUGGGCCCCCAGUGAAAAAUUGCUCUGAAGAUGGCAGAGCCCUUCAGAGGAGAAAUGCCUUUGGUGGGUGCUUCUCAUUGCACCUCCAGGGUCACAGAGCUGCAUGCCAUGUGCCAGCAUAGAAAAUCUCUGGUGCCUUCUCACUUCAUGUGAGAGCACCAUAACUCACGGGGAAAAAGAUGCAGCAGGCCAUCUUUGCAAUUAUAGUACAUUCUCCUUGAGACUUCGACAAAUAUAUGGGAGUUUUUAAGGAUGUUGGUUAAUUAGUUUAUGAUCUAGUUUAAUAUAAAAUUGGAUCCUGCAUAUUUUCAACACACGUUGUCAGGUCAUUUUAGCUGAUCUAGCAGUUCAUUCCUGUAACUCCUGGAAUAUUUCUGACUUUCCAGAUAGUUAAAACUCUCUGAAAUCUCAUGCAGGGGUUAUUCAGAAACGUCCCAUCCCUAUUAAAAUGCCCUAGAGAAAAAUAUUAGCUGUUACUCAGCUACACUGUAGUCAGUAUUAGACUAUUUCUGAAAAGAAAUAAAAGAAAAAGAAAAAAAAAAACUUAUUGGCUUUGCUUUUAACCCUAGUUUUGCAUUUUAGGUGCUUGAUUCACUGCAGCAUUUCUGGUCCUCUACACCUUCCUACUCUUCUUUAGCAGUCACAGGUACUCCUCUAGCAUUCAUGAGUACGUUCCCAUUCAGAAGCUGUAUGAUUGUGGUCGUAUCUGGUCUUGAACGCUUCUGUGUUUAAACAUACACAAUUGCUCAGAAAUACAUACGUGUUUGCAGGAUUUGAUGGUUGGAUUGGAUAAUUCUAGUGGUCUUUUCCAACCUGGAUGACUCUAUGAUCAUAUGAUUCUCCUUGAAGGCAACAACUGGCUCUUUGGUUGACCCUCCAAUUCUCAGUACACCCCAAACAUCAAUCUUGAAAAUAAUGGAUAGAAGUCAGAGUGAGAAUAUUAUGUGUUGUGCAGCAGGGGGAGGGCAAAGAGGUCUUGUAGCAGAGCAGAUCUGGGAAGGCUGUAGAGAUCUACGGGUACAUACACAUGGAGAGGACAGGCCAUAGAAAGUAGACGUGUGUUUUGUUGCUUUGAGUAUUGCUGGUAAAAUGCAUGUGAACGCAUACUGCAUAUUCACUUCCGAGGAUGGCACAGAUAGUAUUUAUGAGAUGUGGAUACUCUCUUUUAAUGUUUGUUGCACUUUGUAAAUCAAAAUAUAACUCUGUGAACUCAAGGUUUUUCUUCGUUUAGCAGAUGGCCAAGGGAAGCAAUUAUGUUGUAUACUAAACAAGCAAGCUUCUCUUUGCAAAACAAGUCACUAAAAUCCUUUAUUUGUGAGCAAGCGUUUAUUAAUGACCUUUUUGAAUUUUACUACUGAGCCUCACAGUAAUAGAUGGGCAUUGUUAGAAAUGUAAAUGUAAAGAGAUAAGGAAAUUUUCAGGCAAAUCUAUAAUUUCAAAGAAAGCUGCUCUCUUCUAAUGACCUUGUUUGCAUGGAUAUCUGAUAGUAAAGCUAGGGAGGGUCACAGUAGAUAAAACCUAACAGAUCAUUGAAUGAAAAACAAAUAUUUAUUUUCUCUUUGUCUCUUUGGGACUCAUUUGCAUUAAAACUGAAGCAUUUCCAGAGACCGUUGGUGAAAAUAAAAGCUCAUUUAUGCAUUUAAUAUUAGGAAAGCACUUUGAGAUUGAGGUUGUGUAAAAACUGAUUCCACUCUGCAUCCUCGCCUUUCCAGGAAGAAUACCAAGCAGAGAAAAAUGGUACAGACAUUUGGUCUGCUGUAUACCUCAAAUUUGCAUUUUAUUGCGCCAGUGUAUUUUUAUAACUGCAUUAUAGAUAUCAUUGUCACACUUGGCUUCUUUUGUGAAUUCCAGCUCCAAUUCUCUGAAGCUAUUUGUCACUUAUUUUAACCUUGAGCAUAGUCUCAUAAACAAAACACCUCCCUCAGUCCCUGUUGUCUGACUACCUGAAGCACUCGGGAGUUAUCUCUACCAGUCUCCCUGCUAUGGUGCUCGCCAAACCUUUUGUUCUCAUUCAGUGUCAUGAGAUUCCUUUUAGAAAUUAAAAAAUCCCACCAUGGCAGAUGCAUUUUACUGAAUAAAUUGUUUGAAUUUGCUCAAGUCUGGGAAACUUGAGGUCACCUGUUAAUUUUUUGAAGGGGUAGGACUGACAACAGAUUCACCCAAGCUCAUUUCGCACUGUGAUGUUCCCAGCAGAGUCAAGGUUGGCCUCCACCAGCACGGCAUGGGCAGCACUGGUCUGUAGCAGGGCUCUGGUCCCUACAUUUGGUGUCUCUGUGCCCACUGCGGUUGCAGUGUCCAUCCUUCCCUUAUGGGACAGAAUGCAAAACACUGAAGGGGAUGCUGGAAAACAAGAUGUUUGUGCCAGGUUUUCUUGCACGCUGUUUUAUUUCUAGCAUUGUUGCUUUUGACACUCAAUGAAGUUAGAAAAUGUGAUCAGCUCACUGAGGAGGCCUCAAGUUUUAUUGUCUGCUUGGUGGGAAUAAGGAUGGUGCAUAAUUCCAUUGUUUUGAAAGCUCUAAUCUAGAAACCCAGACAAGCCUAUAUUUCUUUUAAACAAGUAUCUGAUUUAUUUUUAAGCAAUCCGAGUUAAAAAGGAACUAGGAUUGAAGUUAUACAGUCAUCAUUAAUGAAAUUUUAUAUGGAAUAGCAUUUCACAUACAAAAUAAUUAAGUCUCUGUGUUGAUAAAGGAUUAACCGAAUCUUUAGUAUUCCUUUCUGAAUGGCAGCUUCAGUCUUCAGAUAGAUUGCCUUUGAAGUCAAUAGGAGAAGCCACGUGUUCAUCAAAAUAUGGAAGUUAUCUUUGUCAUUAACCUUGAGAAGCUUCAUCGAUUACUGGCAGUAAGUAAGAUCUGAUGGUUUUAGAAAAAUAACUGCUUCAAAAACAAUUUUCAAGGCAUAUUUGACAAGGAGUUAAAUGAAGCCACAAAAAUACGGGAUGGAUAUGAAUUGGUGCAGCUAGCUCAGAAUAGUUUUGUAUGGCAGUUCAAUUAGCUUUACUGGUAUGCUAAAGAAGGCAAAAAUCUCCAUUUUGCCAUUUUCAAGUCAAAAUCAGCAUCUACCUGUGAUGUAGAAAUUAAUAGAAGCAGAGAGCCAUCUGAGUACCAUGAUGACACUCCAAUAAGAUCAUUUUACUGAAAAGUCACCACUACUGUGUUGCAUUUAAACUCCUUUGCAACUCAGCUGUAUUUGAAAAUGUGACCAUAUGAUUAUAACUUAACAGGGAAACGCAUACGUUCCCCGUGGGCUUGUGAGAUGUCAAAAAGUGUUUCUGAAGAGAUUUCCAUUCCACCUUUUUUAUUUGAAAGGACUUUGUGAACCUUAGUGACUUUAGCUGCCUAAACAUUUGUUCUGCGAUCUACUGAUGCUGCUUCUCCAAUAGAUAAAACAGUAUUAAUUUCAGCCUUUUUGAAUGAGCGUUUGGAAAGUGCAAACCUGACAGAUGUAGGAGACUCUGCAUUUUGAGCUUCUGAACUAUUAAGGACUGCAUGUUUAAACUUUAACUGGCGGAACUGCCUUUCUUUCAAUUUUCUCAGUAUAUAUUAUACACGAUAAUGCAUUUUUUAACAAAAGGAACUGUGCUAUCACUCAACUCAAGGCUUUCUAAGAUUAAAUAAGUUUCUGGCCUACUUCACUUUGCCUUCACCAGAGACACUAGAAAUAAAAGAAGCCUCUCUGGAUGCACUGUCCAUCUGUUUCCCAAGCAGAUGAUAACAUCUUGUCUCUCCUAGCAAGUUUCAGUAGGACCAAAUAUUGGAGACUUGCAAUUUUCUUUGCAAGCCAGGUGUAUUUCAGCUCCUGAUAUCUUUACUUCUGGUAUGUGUCUGCUCUUCUCAUUCCUUAGGGGAUUCUGUGCUACAUUCUGUGCUAGAGCAGCUUUCCUUGCCCCUUCUGUUGCCACCUUUCAGCCCAUGCUGGAGCCUCUCUAGCUUUGUAUCUCCCCAGGACUCCCUUCCAAUACCCUGACAUAUCUCUGUGAUCACUCUCCCUGCAUAACGUAUGCAUUACGGGACAAGAGAGAUACUGGAAAUAUGGCCCCAACCCUCCCUUGGUUGAUGUUUUUGAAGGGAUGUGUCAGCUUUUUGUCUUGGAGCAGAACAAGCCCACAGCAGUUCAAUUAACAAACAGACAAAGAAAAAAACAUUAAAGGUGAGUUGUGUGCCACAGAAAUGCUGGAUGAAAGCUAAUGAUAUAAAGGAUGGUGUACUGAUAUAAAGAAUGAUGCAAAGUUUUUAUCCUCUUAUUACUUGAUGAGCAGUGAGCUCCUGACAUUUAAGACCUAAGCCUCUGGUCCUGAGGCAGAACAUCCAACAUACAGAGAGGUUUGCCUAAGCAAAUCUUAUAGAGGUGACCAGAUUCAGUCAAUGUGCGUGAGGCACGCUUUAGCCAUAUGUAUCCAGCUCUUCCUACUUAUUAAGAUGUGACCCUUCCCCUGCUGCAGGAUCAUCCCUUAUACUGUGAUUUGCAGCAAUUAAUUGGUCUCCUCUAAAGUGACUAGCAAAUCCAUAUACUACUGUAAUUACCUGAAUGUAAAAUAUUUAGGAAAUAUCUAUCAUGCUCUUGGAAGUCUCAGGUCAUUGAAAGAAAGCCAAUGAAAUUGCAAACAAGCUGAAGGGAUUGGAUAUCGGCUACAUUUCCUCCCCCCUCCCUGUUCUCUUGGCUCUUAGCAUUUGUCUCUAGGGCAUGACCAAAUAGUGGGCAUGUGUCAUAAAGACAUUUAUCAUGUAAUUACAGCUUUAAGAUCAGUUUCUGUUGAUGCGAGAUGAUUACUGUGUAUUUCACGCCUUUCAGGUUCCCAGCUGGGAUUCAGAGAUUUAAGGACAUGGGAUAUAUAUAUUUUAAAUUUAUGAGAUGGCCAUUUAAUUAAUUGGAGCAUAAGAGUUCAGUCAGUGACCAAAUCGGAACCCUGCAAAACAGAGAGAACAAGAUGUUUUAUGAAGUUUCAAUAUUUUCGACACAUAGAAGUUGGAAAAGCAAAGACCUUUGUUUCCUCUCCAAGGAACAGAACAUUUCUGCGGAGCGAGAAAAAUGACACAUCAAAUUAAUUCAUUGUGAAACCUGAUACUAGAAUAAGAAUACUGUUAAAAUGAGUCUAUUUUAGGCUUGACUUAAAAUGUAUUGUUCUUCUGUGUUAGCAGUAGCUCAGUGCCACUUCCAUAUGGCUUACAUCAAUACAUGCAUUUUAAAAUCUAGGCUCAGGAGUUGCAAUUGUGAUUCCUUGAAUUCAUUUCAAGAUUUUAUAUUGUGUUUUUAUUUGACUUUGUGUUUUCAAAUGCAGAUCCAGUUUGACUUGAGAGGAGCCCUGUCACCAAGGUGAUCGUGCAGCUGGUUUUCCAAUGUUUCUAAUACUCACUAAAUUUCUAUGAGCUUUCUAUUGAACUCCUAUUUCUUCUGAUACUGGCUCAGCAAUUGGAUCACCCCCGUGGCCAUUUAAGUAUAAGAUAGUUAGCAAGCCUACAUUUUAGAUUAACUGUACAGCAAAACAGUGUUGCAUGUCAUCACACAAAAACAUUCCUGAGUGCUGAAGGGUUGGUUGGCUGUUCUUGCAGGCUGUUCUCCCUGGCAUUGAAACACCUGUGUGGGUGCAGUCAGACCUGUGGGAGGCUGUGAUAAUGGAUGACGAAUUAAGUCCGAAGUCUUCUUCCUGAAAUGGGGUUGGCUGGCUGAGCUCCUGGACGUCACAGCUCCCUCUGUACAGCCACAGAGAUAGUUGCCUGUAGCACCUCCAGCCCUACUGUCACAGCUUCAGAUGUCAUUUGUUUCCAAAUAACGAGGCACAUCCCGUUGUGAUGUUCUGAUCCAGCAAACAGCCUCCGCUCUUCUUGUUCACUGGGGAAUGUACAUGCCUUGUGGAAGCUACUGCAGCAACAUUGAAGAGAAGGGAGUUCUCACAAUUGAAGCCAGCAGCCCUAUUUGUCUCUUCUGCUGAAGGAAAGCUAAACAUGCAAAUCGGGCAGGCGGCUGAGGAUCGUAAAAGGACGAGCAGGGUGCAAUAUACACAGGGAGGAAAACAAAGAGAGAUGAGUCCUGACAGCAGAGAAAUUAUACCUGGCUUCAUGUGAGGGCACAGACCUGGCCCUGGCUGCCCCAAGAUCACUGCACACUGCCAGCCAAGCUGUUCUCAUGCUUAAUUUACAGCCUGCAAGGUUCAUGCACCACCUAAUGAAAAAUCGCGAUGGGAACUUUGCAGGAGAAAGUAGGACAGUUGGCACAUUAUUCACAUUUCAGCAGAGGAGGGGAGAGCUCCUUUUGCCUCGAGAACUGACCUCAUGGUGGUUUGACCUGCACAGAGGGCUGUCAUCGGGGCUUUAUGAUCAUUCCAAUUUGGAUUGUAACGUUAUGCUGAAAGUAACACUGGACUCUAUUAUCUUGCUUUGCCCUUUCCAUAAUUCAACGCCAUGUUUGCAGCAUAGCAGCAGUUCGAGGAGUUUGAGAAGUUUUGGUGGAGGUAGUCCAGCCUCGAUGCUGAGCAUUGCUCAGCAGCAUCGUUCACUCUGGAUACAUCUCACGUGUGGGAAAAACAAUAAGAAUUACCUCAAGAUUACUCAUGUCCUCAAUUAGAAAUUGUUUUUCUCCUGUGACUUGUGUUGUUGGUAGCUGAAAUGGCUGUUCACACUACAAGUGGCCUUUUAUUCACCUGCCUUCAAGCACCCAGAGGCACCAACCAACUCCUUCCCUCCUUCCAUGAGGUUCUCUCUCUCUCUGUGGCUGAUAUUACCAAACUGAUAUCUUUAUUCUCACUGAUUUCAGGUGAAGCUUCUUUCUCCCCGUGAGUACCCAUCAGUCACUUCUCCAUUCAAGAGGCAGAACAUUGCUACCCAGACCUGCAUCUAAAAAGUACGAUUUUCUUGACAACACCAGUUGUUUCUCGCAGUCCACGUUCAGAAGGUCCCAUGGACAGAAUUACACUUUAUCCACUUGAACUUUCAUAGUUUCCAGAAGUUCAUACGAUCUUUUCCAAACUCCCCAUGUUACACAAUUUCCUUGUUCUUUGGAGCAACCUCUCAGGCAGAAGGGUAUUACUAUAUCUAUAGCUGUAGUCCCAGGUAAUUGAAUUCUCCUCUUCCUCUACAAUUUGGCUCUGAAUCACGUUCUUUUUAAAUAAUAAAGUAAAAUACAAAAUAAA